CGGUUAAUCACAUCAGCCAAUAUUCGAACCAUAGACGUUAUCGCAAACGAACACGCCACAUAUCGCCUCAUCGUACAUCAAUAACGCCUUUCGCGCGGGUCCCUAUAAAAAGAAGUCCCCGAUCGUGAUUUCAGCAUAACACAUUUUCGUGAGAUUCUAUAUUCUCUGGUGAGUAAAUGAAACGAACAUUUUUCAAACAUAACUGGUGUGAGCAAAAUUAACAGGUUUUUAUUUUUGUUUUUUUGUUUAUACUGAUAGCCUUUUACUUCUUCACUCUACAAAAACCUACCAAAAUCAUCAAAAAUGGGCGCUGAAAAGGUAUCCAUGAACAUCGUCGUCGUCGGACAGGUCCAAGCCUCCAAAGCCGCCAAAAUCGUAGCCAAGGCCGCACCCGCCGCCAGCCAAUUGAUGGUAAGUGUGACCGCAAGUUUAUAUAUUUUGUUAGAUUUCUUUUAUAUACUAUUUGGCUAAAUUAUAAUUUUAUACGUAUUGAACUAAUUCGCGAUUUGUUUACUAAAUNACGAUAAAUUAAAUAUAAUUGAUUUUUAAAUUUUUAUCAUUAAUAGUAACUUUACUUGUACCCUGUUACUUAAAAUAGUAAUAUUUUUAUUUAUUUUAACUAUUUCGAUUAAAAAUAAUAUUAAUAAAGAAGAUAGCCAUUGUAUUAUUUAUUUCGAUUUUGUGUAAUCGUAAUGUUGUUUAUUUGUUUCAGAACUGUUAACUCAUGUAGUCCAUCAAUCAAAAAAUCAAAAAUGCCAUAGCCCAUACAAUUAUACAUAAUAUUGUGUGAACGUUUCAUUAAUAUUAUGUAUAUUUAUAUCACAAAAUAAACUUGCUCUUUCCGUUAUUAA
rnacentral:lncRNA from 1 species